rnacentral:rRNA from 1 species
UAGGAACUCGGCAAAAUGCCCCCGUAACUUCGGGAGAAGGGGGGCCAUCCACUUAUACGGAUUUACUCCGGAAAGGGUGUGGUGGCCGCAGAGACCAGUGGGAAGCGACUGUUUACUAAAAACACAGGUCCGUGCGAACAAGCAAUUGGAUGUAUACGGACUGACGCCUCCCCGGUGCUGGAAGGUUAAGAGGAGUGGUCAACCCUUCGGGGUGAAGCUUUGAAUUUAAGCCCCAGUAAACGGCGGUGGUAACAAUAACCAUCCUAAGGUAGCGAAAUUCCUUGUCGGGUAAGUUCCGACCUGCACGAAUGGCGUAACGACUUCCCAGCUGUCUCCACCAUGAACUCGGCGAAAUUGCACUACGAGUAAAGAUGCUCGUUACGCGCAGAAGGACGGAAAGACCCCGUGACCUUUACUACAGCUUGGUAUUGGUGUUCGGUGUGGCUUGUGUAGGAUAGGUGGGAGACUGUGAAGCAGGGACGCUAGUUCUUGUGGAGUCAUUGUUGAAAUACCACUCUGGUCAUAUUGGAUAUCUAACUACGGACCCUGAUCGGGUUCUGGGACAGUGCCUGGUGGGUAGUUUAACUGGGGCGGUUGCCUCCUAAAGAGUAACGGAGGCGCCCAAAGGUUCCCUCAACCUGGUUGGCAAUUAGGUGGCGAGUGUAAGUGCACAAGGGAGCUUGACUGUGAGACUGACAGGUCGAGCAGGGACGAAAGUCGGGACUAGUGAUCCGGCAGUGGCUUGUGGAAGCGCUGUCGCUCAACGGAUAAAAGGUACCUCGGGGAUAACAGGCUGAUCUUGCCCAAGAGUCCAUAUCGACGGCAUGGUUUGGCACCUCGAUGUCGGCUCGUCGCAUCCUGGGGCUGGAGUAGGUCCCAAGGGUUGGGCUGUUCGCCCAUUAAAGCGGUACGCGAGCUGGGUUUAGAACGUCGUGAGACAGUUCGGUCCCUAUCCUCUGCGCGCGUUGGAAAUUUGAGAGGAUCUGACCCUAGUACGAGAGGACCGGGUUGGACGGACCUCUGGUGUGCCAGUUGUUCUGCCAAGGGCAUGGCUGGUUGGCUACGUUCGGGAUGGAUAACCGCUGAAAGCAUCUAAGCGGGAAGCCGGCCUCGAGAUGAGAUUUCCGUCACCCUUGUGGUGGUGAGGCUCCCAGGAGAUUACUGGGUUGAUAGGCCAGAUGUGGAAGCACUGUAAGGUGUGGAGCUGACUGGUACUAAUAAGCC